CCUACGGGAGGCAGCAGUAGGGAAUCUUCCGCAAUGGACGAAAGUCUGACGGAGCAACGCCGCGUGAACGAUGAAGGCCUUCGGGUCGUAAAGUUCUGUUGUUAGGGAAGAACAAGUGCUAGUUAAAUAAGCUGGCACCUUGACGGUACCUAACCAGAAAGCCACGGCUAACUACGUGCCAGCAGCCGCGGUAAUACGUAGGUGGCAAGCGUUGUCCGGAAUUAUUGGGCGUAAAGCGCGCGCAGGCGGUUUCUUAAGUCUGAUGUGAAAGCCCCCGGCUCAACCGGGGAGGGUCAUUGGAAACUGGGAAACUUGAGUGCAGAAGAGGAAAGUGGAAUUCCAAGUGUAGCGGUGAAAUGCGUAGAGAUUUGGAGGAACACCAGUGGCGAAGGCGACUUUCUGGUCUGUAACUGACGCUGAGGCGCGAAAGCGUGGGGAGCAAACAGGAUUAGAUACCCUGGUAGUCCACGCUGUAAACGAUGAGUGCUAAGUGUUAGAGGGUUUCCGCCCUUUAGUGCUGAAGUUAACGCAUUAAGCACUCCGCCUGGGGAGUCGGUCGCAAGCUGAAACUCAAAUGAAUUGGNGNGAGAGNGCGACGACGACGACGAGGGAGAGG
rnacentral:rRNA from 1 species